GAUGAACGCUGGCGGCGUGCCUAAUACAUGCAAGUCGAGCGAACGGACGAGAAGCUUGCUUCUCUGAUGUUAGCGGCGGACGGGUGAGUAACACGUGGAUAACCUACCUAUAAGACUGGGAUAACUUCGGGAAACCGUAGCUAAUACCGGAUAAUAUUUUGAACCGCAUGGUUCAAAAGUGAAAGACGGUCUUGCUGUCACUUAUAGAUGGAUCCGCGCUGCAUUAGCUAAUUGGUAAGGUAACGGCUUGCCAAGGCAACGAUGCAUAGCCGACCUGAGAGGGUGAUCGGCCACACUGGAACUGAGACACGGUCCAGACUCCUACGGGAGGCAGCAGUAGGGAAUCUUCCGCAAUGGGCGAAAGCCUGACGGAGCAACGCCGCGUGAGUGAUGAAGGUCUUCGGAUCGUAAAACUCUGUUAUUAGGGAAGAACAUAUGUGUAAGUAACUGUGCACAUCUUGACGGUACCUAAUCAGAAAGCCACGGCUAACUACGUG
rnacentral:rRNA from 1 species